CAGGAUGUUACAAGUCAUAUGAUAAAAAGUCAUAUAUAUUCAUAAGAAGUCAUAUAUAUUCACAGAAAGUCAUAUAUAUUCACAAGAAGUCAUAUAUAUUCAUAAAAAGUCAUCUAUAUUCAUAAAAAAUCAUGUAUAUUCAUAAAAAGUUAUAUAUUCAUAAAAAAUUAUAUGAUAGAAAGUCGUAUAUAUUCUCAGAAAGUCAUA
rnacentral:lncRNA from 1 species